rnacentral:rRNA from 1 species
AGAACGAACGCUGGCGGCAUGCCUAACACAUGCAAGUCGGACGCUUUCGGGGGUUUCGGCCUCCGAGGGAGUGGCGGACGGGUGAGUAGCGCGUGGGAACCUGCCCCUUUGUGGGGGAUAACCGAGGGAAACUUCGGCUAAUACCGCAUGCGCCCGGGGGUAACUCCGGGGAAAGAUUUAUCGCAGAGGGAGGGGCCCGCGUCGGAUUAGGUAGUUGGUGGGGUAACGGCCUACCAAGCCGGUGAUCCGUAGCUGGUCUGAGAGGAUGAUCAGCCACAUUGGGACUGAGACACGGCCCAAACUCCUACGGGAGGCAGCAGUGGGGAAUAUUGGACAAUGGGCGCAAGCCUGAUCCAGCCAUGCCGCGUGAGUGAUGAAGGCCCUAGGGUUGUAAAGCUCUUUCACCGGAGAAGAUAAUGACGGUAUCCGGAGAAGAAGCCCCGGCUAACUUCGCGCCAGCAGCCGC